GGGCCCGUAGCCUAGCCUGGCAAGCCUUUAACGAAAGCCUUGAGGGAAAAACUUAAGGGGGAUAUUCGCUAACGCUCAAUCCCCCGAACUAAGAAAGAUUUCGUUUUGGCUUGAGCACAUAGGGCGACAGCCUUCUAAGCUGUAGGUCGUGGGUUCGAAUACUUUCGGACUGGUUCGAAAGGAACAAGACAAAGUCGACUUUCCCACCGGGCUCA
rnacentral:tRNA from 1 species